GAAAUGCGAUAAGUAAUGUGAAUUGCAGAAUUCAGUGAAUCAUCGAAUCUUUGAACGCACAUUGCGCCCGCCAGCACUCUGGCGGGCAUGCCUGUUCGAGCGUCAUUUCAACCCUCAGAACCCCUUGCGGGAUCUGGCGUUGGGGAUUGGCAUCCAGCCAGCCCCGAAAUCUAGUGGCGGUCCCUCCGCGACCUCCCCUGUGCAGUAGCGAUACCUCGCAGCGGGACAGCGGUCUGACCACGCCGUAAAACCCCCAACUUCGCAAGGUUGACCUCGAAUCAGGUAGGAAUACCCGCUGAACAUGAGC
rnacentral:misc_RNA from 1 species